GCCGAGAUGGCUCAGUGGUAGAGCGAGUACUUGGUAAGUACUAGGUCGCGGGUCCGAUUCCCGCUCUCGGCU
rfam:Microgenomates bacterium GW2011_GWB1_44_8 TW73_C0030, whole genome shotgun sequence.